ACUAGCAUAUCAAUAAGCGGAGGAAAAGAAACCAACAGGGAUUGCCUUAGUAACGGCGAGUGAAGCGGCAAAAGCUCAGAUUUGAAAUCUGGCGUCAUUUUGGCGUCCGAGUUGUAAUCUGUAGAGGAGUAUUCGAGUGUGGAUUUGGCUUAAGUUCCUUGGAACAGGACGUCAUAGAGGGUGAGAACCCCGUUAACGGCCUACGUCUUAUGCUCAUGUGAAUCUCCUUCAACGAGUCGAGUUGUUUGGGAAUGCAGCUCUAAAUGGGUGGUAAAUUCCAUCUAAAGCUAAAUACUGGCAAGAGACCGAUAGCGCACAAGUAGAGUGAUCGAAAGAUGAAAAGAACUCUGAACAGAGAGUUAAAUAGUACGUGAAAUUGUUGAAAGGGAAGCACUUGCUACCAGACACGCCUGUAGUUGAUCAACCUCCAUUCUUGGUGGUGCACUCGGCUAUAGGUGGGUCAGCAUCAGUUACAACGGUGGGAUAAAGACUUUGGGAAUGUAGCUUCCCUCGGGAAGUGUUAUAGCCCUUGGUGUAAUACCAUCUGAUGUGACUGAGGCCCGCGCUUCGGCGAGGAUGCUGGCAUAAUGGUCGUAAGUGACCCGUCUUGAAACACGGACCAAGGAGUCUAACAUCUAUGCGAGUGUUUGGGCGUCAAAACCCUUACGCGGAAUGAAAGUGAAUGAAGGUGGGAACCGCAAGGUGCACCAUCGACCGAUCCUGAUGUUUUCGGAUGGAUUUGAGUAGGAGCAUAGCUGUUGGGACCCGAAAGAUGGUGAACUAUGCCUGAAUAGGGUGAAGCCAGAGGAAACUCUGGUGGAGGCUCGCAGCGGUUCUGACGUGCAAAUCGAUCGUCAAAUUUGGGUAUAGGGGCGA
rnacentral:rRNA from 1 species